GGGAGUGGAUGGGGCCCGGUGGCCCUCGCGGUCUUCAAAACCGCAGGCCCGCCGUCGGCGGGCAGUGGGUUCGACUCCCUCCCGCUCCCG
rnacentral:tRNA from 1 species